GGCGGCGUGCCUAACACAUGCAAGUCGAACGAGAAAGUGGAGCAAUCCAUGAGUACAGUGGCGUACGGGUGAGUAACACGUGACUAACCUACCCUCGAGUGGGGAAUAACUUCGGGAAACCGAGGCUAAUACCGCAUAAUGUCUACGGACCAAAUGCGUAAGCAGCUUGAGGAGGGGGUCGCGGCUGAUUAGCUGGUUGGCGGGGUAAUGGCCCACCAAGGCAAUGAUCAGUAGCCGGCCUGAGAGGGCGCACGGCCACACUGGAACUGAAACACGGUCCAGACUCCUACGGGAGGCAGCAGUGGGGAAUUUUGCGCAAUGGGGGAAACCCUGACGCAGCAACGCCGCGUGGAGGAUGAAGCCCCUUGGGGUGUAAACUCCUUUCGAUCGGGACGAUUAUGACGGUACCGGAUGAAGAAGCACCGGCUAACUCUGUGCCAGCAGCCGCGGUAAUACAGAGGGUGCAAGCGUUGUUCGGAAUUAUUGGGCGUAAAGGGUGCGUANGCGGUGCGGUAAGUCUUCUGUGAAACCUCCGGGCUUAACUCGGAGCCUGCAGGGGAAACUGCCGUGCUGGAGUAUGGGAGAGGUGA
rnacentral:rRNA from 1 species